AACGAACGCUGGCGGCAUGCCUAACACAUGCAAGUCGAACGAGAUCUUCGGGUCUAGUGGCGCACGGGUGCGUAACGCGUGGGAAUCUGCCCUUUGGUUCGGAAUAACAGUUGGGAACGACUGCUAAUACCGGAUGAUGACGAAAGUCCAAAGAUUUAUCGCCAGAGGAUGAGCCCGCGUAGGAUUAGCUAGUUGGUGUGGUAAAGGCGCACCAAGGCGACGAUCCUUAGCUGGUCUGAGAGGAUGAUCAGCCACACUGGGACUGAGACACGGCCCAGACUCCUACGGGAGGCAGCAGUGGGGAAUAUUGGACAAUGGGCGAAAGCCUGAUCCAGCAAUGCCGCGUGAGUGAUGUAGGCCUUAGGGUUGUAAAGCUCUUUUACCCGGGAUGAUAAUGACAGUACCGGGAGAAUAAGCUCCGGCUAACUCCGUGCCAGCAGCCGCAGUAA
rnacentral:rRNA from 1 species